ACUAAUUUUAUCGUCAGAUCAAUUUUUGGCAAGUUACAGGCCAUAAUCCGGAAAAAAGAACGAUUUUAGGUCAUUUUUGCCAAAUUUGGCAACUUUCCGGUCCGAAUUUAAUGGCGCAAAGUUGAAAUUCGGAUUCAGCGUCAAAAAUUACAUAGGAAUCGAUGAAAACAUUGCUACCCGGGAUUUUUGCAGGCUCUUUUCCUCGUUUGCCUGGACUAGAAGCAAACUCCUGAAAAUUCUCACGAGGAAUCCGCACAAACGUUUUCUCGUAAAAAAUUAAAUUGCUUGGUUGAAUUUGGCAAUAGCCGAUGUGGCUUGGUUCCUUUCUGUUGAACCAGAUAUUGUAAUUUUGAGGAAUUUCCAUGUGCAUAUUUCAAAACACAUAGAAAAUAAUGAAAAUUUUUGGAAAUUUGCACCCUUAAGUAUACAAGCGUUUACCUUUUUUUAUAAAUUAAGUGCAGUUCCGAGGUUGAUAAAAAUACUGUCGUUGAAAAGCAUCGAGCUAUUGUCUGCUAAUAUAUCAUCAGCUUUUGAACUGUGGAAUAAUACUAAUUUAAUGCUUAUCAAUCAAACCAUAACAAUAUUGGAGACAAUGAAAACUGGAUUCUCCCUUGUUUUGGACUAACUAGCUCUUAGACUGAGCGUAACACCGGCAUUAGAGACAGACUCUCUGCAAGAACAACAAAAGGCUUAACUGCAUAUCUUUCGCAGAUGUCUACGUUCAUGAUAAGAUCAAGGAAAGAGGAGUCUUUUACGACGAAGAGCUUUACUUCAACUUAAAGUGAAAAAGCUUGUGAUUAUCUUUAGAUUCCUCCCACAAUUCAAACGAAAUCGUGCAACACGGACACAGUACAUACCUCCGCAAGAAUGAUGAAGAUUUCAUUUGACCCACAGGUCAAAUGUUUUUAUCGUGGAGCAGUCAAGCCUCUGUUUGCGCAUCUCUUGAUAAGAGCUGGAUUUUUUCUACUUAAUAUAUCGCACCGAGAUCUUCAAAAACCGGCAUGAGCUGUUACCUCAUCGUCAUAUACAACAAUCCGAUUCCAUCAGUCGCAUUUGUCAAGCUACCGUGGUGCAGUUCUGUCAAUCUUGGAUCGGAACGUCCAUAAUCAUUUUGCGUUUAACGUUUCCUCAUAGCAAUAACAUUAAUCGGAAUUCGUGUAAAUCUCGUUCUACGGACCUUUUCUUGCGAAUUUUUGGCAAUACAGCUUCUAAUAAUAAUAAUUAACCACGUGUUUUACCGGAACGCAUUGCUAUAUCGUUGUGUUUCCUCUUACGGGGAUUAUCCUCACACUCUCAUCCUCCGGAUCCGUUUAAAAAUCAGUGACUGACGCACGAACUUUUCGGUUCCAUCUCCAUCACCCGCGGUUGAUAUGAAAAGGACGAUUCGAUUAAUUCUGUGUUGCAAUUUAACUGUUUUGACACGCAUUAUACCAAAAAACCUUUAGCAGGAGGCUAUUUUCUUCUAUAACGUACAUUUAAAUGUGUCUCACAAAUUGUAUCCGAAGUUUUUGUGUCCGUUGAAAGUAAUCGUGGCUCCUAACCAAACACGGAAUAAAUCACCGAUCGCACAAAACCCUCCUUGUGAAUAUCAGUCCAUCGCGUAACGCGUUUUGCAGUUAGCUCUAUUGAAGGCGCUUCACGAAACACAUUUUUCUAGAAAGUGAAU
rnacentral:lncRNA from 1 species